AGAGUUUGAUCAUGGCUCAGAACGAACGUUAGCGGCGNNCCUAACACAUGCAAGUCGCGCGAGAAAGGGCUUCGGCCCCAGUAAAGCGGCGCACGGGUGAGUAACACGUAGGUCAUCUUCCCCUGAGUGGUGGAUAACUCUCCGAAAGGAGAGCUAAUACAGCAUAAGACCACGACCUCGCUGAGGUUGUGGCCAAAGCAGACCUCUUCAUGAAAGUUUGCGCUUAGGGAUGAGCCUGCGGCCCAUCAGCUAGUUGGUAGGGUAAUGGCCUACCAAGGCUAAGACGGGUAGCUGGUCUGAGAGGAUGAACAGCCACACUGGAACUGAGACACGGUCCAGACUCCUACGGGAGGCAGCAGUGGGGAAUCUUGCGCAAUGGGCGAAAGCCUGACGCAGCGACGCCGCGUGAGCGAUGAAGGCCUUCGGGUUGUAAAGCUCUGUGGGGGAGGGAAGAAUAAGUCUUGGCUAAUAUCCAAGAUGAUGACGGUACCUCCUUAGCAAGCACCGGCUAACUCUGUGCCAGCAGCCGCGGUAAGACAGAGGGUGCAAACGUUGUUCGGAAUUACUGGGCGUAAAGCGCGUGUAGGCGGCUAAGUAAGUCGGGCGUGAAAUCCCACGGCUCAACCGUGGAAGUGCACUCGAAACUGCAUAGCUAGAGUCCUGGAGAGGAAGGUGGAAUGCUUGGUGUAGAGGUGAAAUUCGUAGAUAUCAAGCGGAACACCUGUGGCGAAANNGGCGCACUGGACCAUAACUGACGCUGAGGCGCGAAAGCUAGGGGAGCAAACAGGAUUAGAUACCCUAGUAGUCC
rnacentral:rRNA from 1 species